rnacentral:snoRNA from 1 species
GUGAGAGUGUUUAAAAAAAAGCACUCCAGACCUGGGCCUCUCCUAAUGUCCCUUGCCAAGCAAACUAUGACUCCAAACCGUUGCCUGGUCUCUACCCAUAGGCUGCUGGCACUGAAGUGGGUUGCACAUUG